rnacentral:rRNA from 1 species
CGAUGAUGCUCCAGCUUGCUGGGGUGGAUUAGUGGCGAACGGGUGAGUAACACGUGAGUAACCUGCCCUUCACUUUGGGAUAAGCCUUGGAAACGGGGUCUAAUACCGGGUAUACACAUUCUGCCGCAUGGUGGUGUGUGGAAAGCUUUUGUGGUGAGGGAUGGACUCGCGGCCUAUCAGCUUGAUGGUGGGGUAGUGGCCUACCAUGGCUUUGACGGGUAGCCGGCCUGAGAGGGUGACCGGCCACACUGGGACUGAGACACGGCCCAGACUCCUACGGGAGGCAGCAGUGGGGAAUAUUGCACAAUGGGCGGAAGCCUGAUGCAGCGACGCCGCGUGGGGGAUGAAGGCUUUCGGGUCGUAAACUCCUUUCAGCAGGGACGAAGCUUUUUGUGACGGUACCUGCAGAAGAAGCACCGGCUAACUACGUGCCAGCAGCCGCGGUAAUACGUAGGGUGCGAGCGUUGUCCGGAAUUAUUGGGCGUAAAGAGCUUGUAGGCGGUUUGUCGCGUCUGCCGUGAAAGCCCAGGGCUUAACCCUGGGUCUGCGGUGGGUACGGGCAGACUAGAGUGUGGUAGGGGAGACUGGAAUUCCUGGUGUAGCGGUGAAAUG